GGGCGUGUGGUCUAGUGGUAUGAUUCUCGCUUUGGGUGUCCGUUACAUACGUUGUAAUUACACAAGUAUGCGAGAGGCCCUGGGUUCAAUUCCCAGCUCGCCCC